ACAGCUACAGUGUACUUAUGUAUAAUAAUAAAUAAAUCUAAAAAAAAAAAAAAAAAAGGAAUGUGGGAAGAGGGCAGGCAGAUAACACGGCAGGAUUUCUGUGAAGAUGAUUUUGACCUCAUGGAUUCCUGAGGUCACAACGCCAAGUGUCUCUGAGGGCCCAGCCUGAGAAAUGCUGCUCUAAAUGACAUCAAAGCAAUACUUUCUCUGGUACCUGUUACUCAGCUGCUGAUUUGUGAAUUCAUUUAUUUCUACCUAGCAAGUUUCCACAAAAUUAGUGACCUGAAAAAUAUAUUUGCGGUCUGUCUUAGUUAUUUUUCUGUUGCUAUGACAAAACGUAUGACUGAGAAAAGUUAUAAAGGAAAGUGUUUAAUGGGGCUUACAGUUUCAGAGGCUUUGAGUUCAUGUGGCAAAGCAAAGGCAUGGGGAAGGAACAGCUGAGAGUUCACUUCUUGGUCCACAAGAAGCAGGCAGAGAAAGAACACUUGGUCUCUUAAAACCUCAAAGCCACCCCCAGUGACUCACCUUCCACAACAAAGCCACACCUCCUAAUCCUUUCCAAACCGUUCCACCAAUGGGGACCAAGUAUGCAAAUAUCUGAGAGCCUAUUGGGGCAUUGUCACUCACACCACCACAGGAGCUCAUUGGCAUAAUGCUUUUUUUUGGGGGGGGGCGGGGCGGUUCAAGACAGGGUUUCUGUGUAGCCCUGGCUGUCCUGGAACUCACUCUGUAGACCAGGCUGGCCUCGAACUUAGAAAUCUGCCUGCCUCCUUCCCCCCCCCCCGCGCCCCCCCCCCCGAGUGCUGGGAUUAAAGGUGUGCGCCACUACCACCUGGUUGGCAUAAUACUUUGAUUAGUUGUCUGCUCAGAGUCUCACAAGGGUAAACUCAAAGUGACAGCUGACCCUGGCUCUUUCUUCAAGCUCAUACAGGUCAUUGCUGGCAGAAUUUAGUCCUCGUAGUUGCAAGGCUCCCAUUAACUGCUCUUCCCCGCUUCCACCCCCCCCCUUUUUUUUUUUAAUUUUGUUUUGGAAAAAAAAAAUGUCUUUAUCUUCUCAAGUCAAACCUGGUAGUCCCUGCCUACGGUUCCAACAUCUGUGAGCCUGUGAAGUGAAAAUGGGGAAACGAAGGGAGAAGUUUUCAGAUCGAAGCCCAUACUUGGCCAAGGGUCUGAUCCUAGAAGAAAUGACAAUCCCAGACCUCAAAUGCAGCUUCUUAGAAAAAAAAAAGGUGCUUGAACUGUCGCUGGCUGGAGAUCACCAACAACAAGGAGAGCAGGGACUCAUGUUCCACCCAACCAGGCCAAGCUCUUUGACCCAGUGAUGUCAUCUAUGAUGUCACUACCGCCUCAUCGGCACUGCCUGUUUUUGGUCUGAAUGAGAUGUGCCUUAUAAGUCCCAAGCCUGUGACUACUGGGCUCACAGUUGGUGGCUGUUGGAGGAGAAUUAGAAGGUAUGGCCUUGCUGGAG
rnacentral:lncRNA from 1 species